UUCUGGCUCAGGACGAACGCUGGCGGCGUGCUUCAUACAUGCAAGUCGAACGAUAAGGCACCUUCGGGUGUACAUAAGUGGCGGACGGGUGAGUAAUAUGUAGAGAAUCUGCCCUAGAGAGUGGGACAACAGUUGGAAACGACUGCUAAUACCGCAUAUGAGCGUACCUGAAAUGGUAUUCUUGAAAACUCCGGUGCUCUGGGAUGAGUCUGCAUCUGAUUAGCUAGUUGGGGGUGUAAUGGACCACCAAGGCGACGAUCAGUAGCUGGUUUGAGAGGAUGAUCAGCCACAAUGGGACUGAGACACGGCCCAUACUCCUACGGGAGGCAGCAGUAGGGAAUUUUGCGCAAUGGGGGAAACCCUGAACCGCAGCAACGCCGCGUGACCGAUGAAGCCCGUUCGGGGUGUAAAGGUCUGUCAGUGGGGACGAAUAUUGACGGUACCCACAGAGGAAGCAUCGGCUAACUCCGUGCCAGCCGCCGC
rnacentral:rRNA from 1 species